AAAUUGAAGAGUUUGAUCAUGGCUCAGAUUGAACGCUGGCGGCAGGCCUAACACAUGCAAGUCGAACGGUAACAGGAAUCAGCUUGCUGAUUUGCUGACGAGUGGCGGACGGGUGAGUAAUGUCUGGGAAACUGCCUGAUGGAGGGGGAUAACUACUGGAAACGGUAGCUAAUACCGCAUAACGUCGCAAGACCAAAGAGGGGGACCUUCGGGCCUCUUGCCAUCGGAUGUGCCCAGAUGGGAUUAGCUAGUA
rnacentral:rRNA from 1 species